GACAUAUCAAAUCGUUGUCAAAGGUAACA
rnacentral:sRNA from 1 species